rnacentral:rRNA from 1 species
AUGGAAAUAGAUGGAACACAUAUUCCAAAUAGCAUAUCUCCAAAUGACCAAGAUCCAUAUCGUAACAGAAAGGGAACACUGUCACAAAAUGUUAUGGUUGCAUGUGAUUUUGAUAAUCGUUUCGUCCAUGUCAGCAGCGGAUGGGAAGGUUCCGCUUCCGACGCUCGUGUUCUACAAGAUGCUCUUGAAAAUAACUUCUAUGUCCCCGAAGGAAAGUUUUAUUUGGUGGAUGCUGGUUAUGCGAAUACGCCUAAUUUUAUUGCACCUUAUCGCAAUGUAAGGUACCAUUUGGUGGAGCAGGCUAAAUGCAAUCAGCGGCCGCAGAAUCCUCGAGAACUAUUCAACCUGAGGCAUGCACAACUUCGUAAUCAUGUUGAGCGUGUAAUUGGAGUUCUGAAGAAGCGUUUCCCUAUACUAAAAUGUGCAUCGCAAUACCCCAUCAACUCGCAAGCAGAAAUUGCGAUAGCAUGUUGUGCUCUUCAUAAUUUCAUUUGUAGUAAUGAGGGUGGCGAACAAUGGUUGGACCAAGUUGAAUCAGAGAUUGAUCCAGUAAAAAUAAUUGAUGUUCCAAGUGGAGAUAUGAAGUAUACAAAUGACAUACAUUCUCUCAAUGAGCUACAAGCACUAGGUAGCACAAAAAGGGAUGAAAUAGCCAAUGCCAUGUGGAAUGACUAUCAAGACUAUCUCAGACGGACUAGAAGAAAUAUUGCAUGA